rnacentral:rRNA from 1 species
AGUGAACGCUGGCGGUAGGCCUAACACAUGCAAGUCGAACGGCAGCACAGUAAGAGCUUGCUCUUACGGGUGGCGAGUGGCGGACGGGUGAGGAAUACAUCGGAAUCUACUUUUUCGUGGGGGAUAACGUAGGGAAACUUACGCUAAUACCGCAUACGACCUACGGGUGAAAGCAGGGGAUCUUCGGACCUUGCGCGAUUGAAUGAGCCGAUGUCGGAUUAGCUAGUUGGCGGGGUAAAGGCCCACCAAGGCGACGAUCCGUAGCUGGUCUGAGAGGAUGAUCAGCCACACUGGAACUGAGACACGGUCCAGACUCCUACGGGAGGCAGCAGUGGGGAAUAUUGGACAAUGGGCGCAAGCCUGAUCCAGCCAUACCGAGUGGGUGAAGAAGGCCUUCGGGUUGUAAAGCCCUUUUGUUGGGAAAGAAAAGCAGCAGGUUAAUACCCAGCUGUUCUGACGGUACCCAAAGAAUAAGCACCGGCUAACUUCGUG